rnacentral:lncRNA from 12 species
GAUAGCUUUUGAUCUUCAGCAAAGCGCUCUCUGUCUCUUGUCUGUCUUAUUUGGUGUUGUAUUGUCUCAGUCACAAGCAUACAUUAUAAGCAUGGCGAGCUCAAGCAGUUACACGAGGUGUGUGCAUCCCUGCCCACGUUAUAUUACGGGUGGAGACACGCAUCGUAUGUGUGUACACUGUUUGGGAGCGCAGCACGCGCAGGCAGCUCUUGAGGGGGCUGCUUGCGAGGAUUGUGAGAGAUUACCAAUCCGUGUGCUGCGCUCCCGCCUGGCUAUUUUCAACGAAGACGGCCAGGCUCGCGAGCCCCAUGGUGCGGGACCCGCGUCCGCUGAGGCGGCGCGGCAACGCUCUUCAUGGGGCUCGCAGAUGGAUUUGGCGGAGGAUCCCGAGACUGCUGAGGCACGCUCUCGCGAUUCAUCCGCCAGUUCCGAUGCUCUCCCGCCUCGCGCGGAAGCCCGCCCCGCGGCUUCUUCCGCACGAGUGGAGAGCCCGAUGCUUGAGCUGUCUGCUUCCGAGGAAGUAGACGUGCUCAGCAUCGAGGGCGGGGAUUUUGGGGAUGACUCGCCACCCCAUGUCCCCGCAUAUGAGGAGCUUCUAGAGGUUGUCUCUCGUGCGGUGGCCCGUCUUAAUAUCAGUUGGCCACAUGAGAGGCAGGAAACGCUUAUUAAAAGCAAGUUGGACGAGCGUUUCCUGCAGCACAGAGAGCAACCUCAUCGUCGGGGUUUACCAUUCUUUCCCGAUUUACACAACGAGUUGUGUAAAUCGUGGAACAAACCGCACUCAUCUCGCGUGUCCAACCCCCCUGUGCUAAACUAUAGUGAUAUUUUGGGGGGGCGAGAGAAUAGUUAUGGGAUGAUACCUCGGGUGGAACAGCCGCUUGCCACCUAUUUAGCCCCCGAGUCUGCAUCAUCCCUAAAAACCCCGGUGCUGCCCACUAAACCGUGCCGUGUUACAUCUACAUUAGUGGGCAGGGCUUAUAUGGCUGCGGGUCGGGCUGGUGCUAGUCUGCAUACAAUGGCGGUACUGCAAGCAUACCAGGCCGACCUUCUUAAGGAUAUUGAUGAGGGCGAGGGCCCGACUCCGGAAGAUAUUGCGGAGUUGAGGAAGGCUGCAGAUCUGUCUCUCCGAGUCACCAAGGAAACGGCCCGCGCUGUCGGCCGUUCCAUGGCGGCGAUGGUGGUCUCGGAGAGACACUUAUGGUUGAAUCUG